rnacentral:misc_RNA from 1 species
GAUGAAGAACGUAGCGAAAUGCGAUACGUAAUGUGAAUUGCAGAAUUCAGUGAAUCAUCGAAUCUUUGAACGCAUAUUGCGCUCUCUGGUAUUCCGGAGAGCAUGCUUGUUUGAGUAUCAGUAAACACCUCAACUCCCUUUUCUUUUUUGAAAUUGGAGCUGGACUUGAGUGAUCCCAACGCUUUCUUCCAAGAAAGUGGCGGGUUGCUUGAAAUGCAGGUGCGGCUGAACUUUUCUCUGAGCUAUAAGCAUAUCUAUUUAGUCUGCCUAAAAAACAGAUUAUUACCUUUGCUGCAGCUAACAUAAAGGAGACUAGUUCUUGUGCUGACUGAUGCAGGAUUCACAGAGACAGCUUCGGCUGACUUUGUAAACUCGAUCUCAAAUCAAGUAAGACUACCCGCUGAACUUAAGCAUAUCAAUAAGCGGAGGA